GGACAGCGUACUUUCUCUAAGAAUGGCGAAAGGAAAAACAUCAGACUAGGAUGCUCUCCAGAAAUAAUAACUGAGAAUCUCAUCCUGUUGUGUAAACUCUCCUUGUACUUUGCUCUCUUUCUUUAGCUUGCCCAUGGUGAUGUGAAGAUGAGAAGAAAUAGCAAGGCCCAACCAGUUCUUCAUCUGGAGACAGUUCAACGUUCUGCAAACCAGAUCUUCAGGAAUUUUACUGGGAUAAUUAUCCAAAUAAAUUGCAAGCAUUCUAUCCAAAUGGAGCUCUUUCUGAGAUGAAGAGAAUUCUCAAUGUCAAGAUUUGAACAAGAAGAGAAUGGAAUACACAAUAUGGACAUCCAUAAAAAUUCAUCAGAGAGCAUUUUACUACUGAGCUGCAAAGGGAAAAACUUAAAAUGGAUAUGAAAAGUGAAGAAAGUGAUCAUAGGAGAAAACCAUUUCAGAUGACAAGAGCACCUCAAAGGCAGCAGCCUCAAGGAGCAGCCAUGGCCCCAGACUUGUCGCACGGAUGCAGAAAACUUAAUGGAGGAGGCUGAGGUCAGAAUGGGAAGAGUUUUUAAAAAAUAAAAAGGGGAGCUAA
rnacentral:lncRNA from 1 species